AUAUACUUCCUGAAGCCAGCGAUGGCUCGCUAUGGCUAGCAGAGACUUGCAGUCAAAUAUUUUCCCAUCGACGCAUUAAAUUAUAGCACCAACCACUGCCAGGCAACUCUGUUCAGAAUGCAAAUCUCCACAGCUGGCCAGUGCAAGGGUCAUGUGUGUUGACAGAGGAACCUAAUGGCUUGUGUGCGUGCAAAGCAGGAAUCGGUAGCCUUGGUAAGCAAAAACAACUUUCAGUCACAGAGAAAGUGCACUGCUGCUCAUAAAUCUAUUGAAGCCUUGAGUAAACUGCUACACCUUAGGCCCCCAGAUGUUAAGCAAACCUGCAAGGAUGACUUUGCAACAGUGUGAAGCUGGAGUGUGAAAUGACAGAGAGGGAGACUGGAAUGGAGUAUCUUGAAAUAAGGCAUUGACUAGCUUGCAGGCACACUAAACCGAAGCACCUCAUCUGGGAAAAGUAUGUUUCUGUACCACCUUUCUGUUCUACGAAUUAUUUGUAAAUAUUAUGUGCAACAAAUUGAGUCAUAUACUAACAGCAUUGCAAAUCUGUCCUGAAGGAUUGCUAAACCUUUGGGUGUAGGCUGUGUUGGAAUGAAAAACUGUUAAAAUACAAGGUAAAAGUUACAA